rnacentral:rRNA from 1 species
UGGAAGGCGAAGAUGUAUGUCUAGCGGCGGACGGGUGAGUAACGCGUGAGCAACCUGUCCUUCGACAGGGGGAUAACACAGCGAAAGUUGUACUAAUACCGCAUAAGACCACACCGGGACAUCCCCGGAGGGGUCAAAGGAGCAAUCCGGUGAAGGGUGGGCUCGCGUCCGAUUAGAUAGUUGGUGAGGUAACGGCCCACCAAGUCGACGAUCGGUAGCCGACCUGAGAGGGUGAUCGGCCACAUUGGGACUGAGACACGGCCCAAACGUCCUACGGGAGGCAACAGUGGGGGAAUAUUGGGCAAUGGGGGAAACCCUGACCCAGCAACGCCGCGUGAGGGAAGAAGGUUUUCGGAUCGUAAACCUCUGUCCUUGGUGAAGAGGAAGAGACGGUAGCCAAGGAGGAAGCCCCGGCUAACUACGUGCCAGCCGCCGC